UCUCAUUAAAACCACGCCCAAACCAUCCAUUGAAAGUCCAUGUAUGGGGAGGCAUAACACGAUUAGGAGCUGGUCCCCUAUUAUUUUUCGAAGGGAUCAUGGAUAAGAAAUUUUUCCAAGAAACAAUAGUAGAGGGAUGUAUGGUGCCAUUUGUGAAUAAAUAUUACCCAACUCACCAUAGGAUAUUCCAAGACAAUGAUCCUAAACACUCCGCCUCAGCCAAAUUUAUGGAAGAGAAAGGUAUGAAUUGGGAAUGCACACCACCAGAAUCACCAGACAUGAACCU